CCUCCCUGUCCAAUCCCCGCCGCCAGCAUCUCCCACCUCGGGAUCCAUCUCCACCCAAUACAACCACCGUCUCCAUUUCCGUGCCCGCCCAACCACUGCAAAGCCGAAGCCUCCACCUUCCCUGAUCCACCCGUCGAUCCAGCCCCGUCGGGCUCCUCUGCUCGCAGCUCCUCGUGCCCGCACACCGCUGAGCAUCAACAGCAGUCCUGAGCACCCCGUCCCCUCAUCAUGUACCUCGAACCAGGAUGGAUCUGGAGCAACGUUGACUUUCACUCGUCGCCGGUGGCCUCAACCACCAGGACGCCGCCGCCGGACCAAUCGCUGACAGGGACCCCGCCAUGGAUCUCUGGCCGACGUCCGGAGCCUUGCCGCCGAGCCCGCCUGGAUCGGGCCUGGAUACAUCACCCCGCCUUGCUUCCGCCGUCAGCUGCCCGUUCCUCGUUGAGAGCUCUCUUCGUGCAGCGAUGGAGGUUCCCAGCCCCUCCUCUGUUUCGUUCUACGGGGAGGACGAGGUGCCCCUGCCUCGCAUGGCCCGAGCCCUAACCCUCUGCCUUGGUCGCCCGUUCCAGCGAUGCGUUGACCUCCAGAGUCGACAGCACAAAGGCGAGCAGCCUCCUAGGCCCAGCUUUGCCUCUGCGGGCCCCUCCCUCCUCUAGCAGGCCUUGGCCCAAUUGUUGCUUCUUUGGGUUGGUUCCGAUAACGUCGCGUUUGUGAGGACCCGUUCGA